GGUUUACUACUAGUGGUGGAGCAUGUGGUUUAAUGCGAUAACCCGCGCAAAACCUUACCAGUUUUUGAAUAAAGUUUUUUGAUUAAUUUCAAUAAAGAAAUUUUAUAUAUGAAACUUAUACAGGUGUUGCACGACUGUCGUCAGUUCGUGUCGUGAGAUGUUUGGUUAAUUCCUUUAACGAGCGUAACUCUUUUCUUUAAAAUUUUUUUAAAGAUACUGCUAAUAAUAAAUUAGAGGAAGGUGAGAAUCAAGUCAAGUCUCUGUGGCCCUUAUAAACUGGGCUACACACGUGCUACAAUGAAAAUAACAAAAAGUUACUAAAAUGUAAAUUAAGUUAUUCUAUUUAAAUAUUUUCCCAGUACGGAUUGUAAUCUGCAACUCGAUUACAUAAAGUUGGAAUCACUAGUAAUCG
rnacentral:rRNA from 1 species